UACGUAGGGCGCAAGCGUUGUCCGGAUUUAUUGGGCGUAAAGAGCUCGUAGGCGGCUCGUCGCGUCGACCGUGAAAACCCGCGGCUUAACUGCGGGCUUGCGGUUGAUACGGGCGGGCUAGAGUUCGGUAGGGGAGACUGGAAUUCCUGGUGUAGCGGUGAAAUGCGCAGAUAUCAGGAGGAACACCGGUGGCGAAGGCGGGUCUCUGGGCCGAUACUGACGCUGAGGAGCGAAAGCGUGGGGAGCGAACAGG
rnacentral:rRNA from 1 species